CGACUGCAAACAGUUAUCCUACUGGAGCUAAUUAAGAAAAAGCGGAGGAAAAUAAAAGGCACACCGAGGGCGGGUCUACCGUCUCAAAAGGGAGCAGUCGAAAAGUCCGAACUGGCUGGGGCAAACCCUCUCGCACCAGGUCCGCGCGCCUCCUCCCUGGACGCGGCAUUUUCUUUGGAUCCGGUUACUGCCCCGGGGGUAGACCUGGCCCAUCACCUCGCCUCACCCCCGGGGCUAGGGCGCCUGCCCCGGGCCCCACGCCCUCGGGGAUGCCCCCUUCCCUCAGCGCCACAUUUCCCCCUCCUGGGCGCCAGGGGCGCGCCCGGCCCAGCCUCUCCCACUCCCCAAAUCUCCGCUCCCGCUCGCCGCCUUUACCGCUCCUCGAGUCAACUGUCGCGCGCUCCGCCUUGCACGUCGAGCCAGCGGCCGUCGCCUCCGCCCACUCGCACCACGACGCGGAGCCCCGCCGGCCUCGCUUCAGCCGCCUCUUCCCCGCCCCCGCAGCCCCCCCGCACCAAUCAACGCCCGGCUCGCAGCCCGACCAAUCGCCUUCCCCGCCACAACCAAUCCUUCCGCGGGCUGUCCCUGAGCGACGGCGCGGCCGAGCGCGGAUACCCAAUUACCCGGAUGGACUUCAAAGCCGACUCACCGCGUCAGCCAAUCACAUCCAGGGAAAGCAGACGUUGUCAAUUGAGAUUGCACCUGCUGAGAAUUAAACAGCCAAUUAGAGGUUUCACGGAGUCCUCCCAGCCCACCUCUAAGCCAAUUACUGAGGAGGCUGCCACCUCCCAAGCCUUAGGGAAGAAAUCAGCGGUGUGGAGGCUGGGCCCGAGGCGCGAGGGGGUUGAAUUACUCAUGCGUGUCACCGUUCGCACAAAAUUGGUGCCUUUGUGCAAAGCCACCCCACAACCAAGAGACCAGUGGAAAGCAGUCUCACGAUGGGCGAUGCUCUGCCGCUUGUUUCCUCAGCGAUGUUUUGCCUCGAUUGGUCCUCCUACGGUGACAGAGACUCAGGAGACAGGGAAAACAAAACUGGCUUCGUGGAGGAUGGAGAAAAGUUCGAAGGGAAGGAGCUGCGCGGCAGAGAGCGAGGGCCAGCUCUCUUUCUCUGCCCAGGAAUAA
rnacentral:lncRNA from 1 species